GAUUACCCGUCAUGCCCCGCGGGUAAAGAUGGCGACAGCUGAGCAGGGCAGCAGAUCAACUUUAUCCGAGCGGCUCUGAGCGGAUCUCGGUCCGUCAGUCGAAGCGUCUCCGCCGGCUGCUUCUCCUCCCGCGGCCCGCUGCCGCAGUUCGGAGCUCCUUCCCAGCCGGACCUCAGCGCUCCUCCCCGGCCUCGGAUCGGUUCGGAGCGCUCCUCCUCCCUCCCUCCCUCCCUCCUCCCCUCCGCGACCGGAGGAAGAGAGCGGAGCUCCGGCUAAAGUUUCCUCUCCUCUCCGCUGUCUGGGAUUGUUUGCGGAGAUAAACCCGGGCCCGAGCCGCGCUGCCCGGCCUCGCAGGUUACCGGAGGCCUGAGGCUCACAUGCCCAGAGGAAGAGGAAGAACUGGACUGAGUGAGGACGGACGCAGCAGAAGAUGAAGAGUUCUCUGUGCUGACGUACGAGCUCCGUUGUUUCUGUGGAUGAAGCCAGCUCUGGAGCAGCACUUCAGGUACAAGCACACCUCUGAAAUGAGGAGGUCACGUCCUGGAAAGACCUUGAGAUGCCUGGAAAAACACAGAAAAAUCUAUUAAACAUCCUGAAAACUCUCAAAA